GACGAACGCUUUCUUCUUUCCUAAUACAUGCAAGUAGAACGCACAGUUUAUACCGUAGCUUGCUACACCAUAAACUGUGAGUUGCGAACGGGUGAGUAACGCGUAGGUAACCUGCCUGGUAGCGGGGGAUAACUAUUGGAAACGAUAGCUAAUACCGCAUAAUAUUAAUUAUUGCAUGAUAAUUGAUUGAAAGAUGCAAUUGCAUCACUACCAGAUGGACCUGCGUUGUAUUAGCUAGUAGGUGAGGUAACGUCUCACCUAGGCGACGAUACAUAGCCGACCUGAGAGGGUGAGCGGCCACACUGGGACUGAGACACGGCCCAGACUCCUACGGGAGGCAGCAGUAGGGAAUCUUCGGCAAUGGACGAAAGUCUGACCGAGCAACGCCGCGUGAGUGAAGAAGGUUUUCGGAUCGUAAAGCUCUGUUGUAAGAGAAGAACGGGUGUGAGAGUGGAAAGUUCACACUGUGACGGUAUCUUACCAGAAAGGGAAGGCUAACUACGUG
rnacentral:rRNA from 1 species